rnacentral:lncRNA from 1 species
GUUAUGUGUAUUUUGAAACAGGAAAUCUCGCCAUCCUCACCAAAGCCAUUUCCUUGAGAGGAUUUUAUCUGGUUUGUCUCCUUGACUCCAGGCAGGGCUCCAUUCCAACCAGAUGGAAGAAUGCAGACAUCUCACAUCAUUUACACCCAGAAGGCUGUCAGCAGCGGCGCUCAGGGAGUGAGAGUGUUUAAUCUCGAGGAGGAAAUAGAAUGUAUACACACCCUGCAAACUGAGAUGUUUUACGUUGGCUCUGGCUCCUACCGCCCCCAUGUGCGGCAGCAGCUACCAAGACUCUACUGUGAAUCCCCAUGACUGGGCUCUCACUGGCAAAAUCUACUUGUUUCCAGCAAUACAGAGUGGAUCUGGGCAUGGGCAGAAGAUGGGUACAGCAGAAAUUUGGCAGUUACUCAGCAUGAGCUGCUUUCUUCACACAUGGACACAACCACAAAUACCUGCCUUUUCUUUUCUCCCCACCAACUUCCAGUCUUUUAGUUUGCUUUGCCCUGUGAAGGCUUGUAGUCUUUUCUACUCCUCUUGUCAGUCAGGAAAAUUACUCUGAUAAUCCUUGCACAGCAAGGUGGUAGACACAUCCCAUGCUUGAUUUGGGGGGUGGUGGUCCUUGGCCACAAAUAAAUCAGAAGCCCACUAUAGCUGACUUAAGCAGAAAAAGAAUUUAUUAGGGGAAGUGGAUGUUCCCAUAGGCUACACACAGACAGGAGAGCAAGGCUUGGGGCACGUCCCCGAGGAGGACACCCAAGGGGCACCAUGGC